UACGAAGGGGGCUAGCGUUGCUCGGAAUCACUGGGCGUAAAGGGUGCGUAGGCGGGUUUUUAAGUCAGGGGUGAAAUCCUGGAGCUCAACUCCAGAACUGCCUUUGAUACUGAAGAUCUUGAGUCCGGGAGAGGUGAGUGGAACUGCGAGUGUAGAGGUGAAAUUCGUAGAUAUUCGCAAGAACACCAGUGGCGAAGGCGGCUCACUGGCCCGGUACUGACGCUGAGGCGCGAAAGCUAGGGGAGCAAACGGGG
rnacentral:rRNA from 1 species